UACAGAGGUCUCGAGCGUUGUUCGGAUUCAUUGGGCGUAAAGGGUGCGUAGGUGGUAUGGUAAGUCGGAUGUGAAAAUCCCGGGGCUCAACCCCCGGAACUGCAUUCGAUACUGCCGUGCUUGAGUACUGGAGAGGAGAUCGGAAUUUACGGUGUAGCAGUGAAAAUGCGUAGAUAUCGUAAGGAAGACCAGUGGCGAAGGCGGAUCUCUGGACAGUUACUGACACUGAGGCAC
rnacentral:rRNA from 1 species